AGCAUAGCGAUUUGGGAUAAGUCCUUGGAAAAGGACAGCAUCGAGGGUGAUACUCCCGUUUGUGCCCGAGUAGCUUGUACGUACGAUACGUUUUCUUUGAGUCGUGUUGUUUGGGAAUGCAGCACAAAGUAGGUGGUAAAUUCCAUCUAAAGCUAAAUAUUGGUGCGAGACCGAUAGCGAACAAGUACCGUGAGGGAAAGAUGAAAAGAACUUUGAAAAGAGAGUUAAAGAGUACCUGAAACUGCUGAAAGGGAAUCGAAUCGUUUCCAGUGUCUAUAAUCCUUAGCAUAUUUCAUUGGCGAGUGGAUGCGUAUAGUGUUUUUGACAGUGGCUUGCUGCGUCUGGCAUUAUUCUGCGUUUGCUUGCUGGUGCCCUGUGCUUUGGUGGGACGUCAGAGUCAGUUUGUAUGCUGCGGGAAAUGGUUAGUUGAGGAGGUAGGUCGAGUGCUUGCAUUUGGCUGUUAUAUCUCGACUAACUAGUAGUCGUGGUUGAGACUGAGGUGCC
rnacentral:rRNA from 2 species